GUGAUGCUGAUUCGUAACAGAGAGCGCGGCCUCGUAGAGUGAGCUACAUUCACUGCUCUGGAAACAGGCUUAGGCUGUAAUUUAAUCCACUGUGAAACUACAGGUAUCAUCUCAUGCAAAAAGUCUGCCUUUGAAGAAAAAUGACAAAAGGAGCCUUGUAUCUCCUGCUGCAAAGGAAGUGCCACUCCAGGAAACAAUCCUUUUUGCACAGAUGUCCUGUAAAAGCUACCUGAACACUGCAGUGACAAUAACAAUGACAAGCAAAGACAAUGACUAAACAAGAGUUUGGACAUGGAACUAAACUGCAUACAGUCUCCACUUGUCUGCACCCCAAUUAGAAGAGAAUGGAGACAAGCAUCACAGUGGUCUAUAAACAGGACAAGAAGAAGAUUGACAAGUAACUGAAGGAAAAGAACUGAAGGAGUCAACUGUCAGAGCAAAGAGAGGUUAUAGAAAAAGAGAGAGAGAGAGGUUUGCCCAUUGCCCUGGAGUAAUGGCUAGCCUUUAACACAUGGCCUCUGCUCCUGUCAGUAUUUCUUCUUGGACAGGUUAUCUCAGGAAUUUAUGCUUUCCAAUAAUUACCUUUCAGAGGGCUCUCACUUAUCUUGCAAGAGGAAUCCAACAGUAACCUGACCUGCAUUGCUCAUGCAAUCACCAUCCACCCCCUCUAACCUUACAUCCCAUCUCUCAAAGCAAAAGCAAGCAGCCCUUCCCAGACUUCCAGUGAUGCAUCAGCAGCAGUUGAUAAAAUUGUUGGCAAAGUUGAUAAAAAUAAGAGUUUCAAUGCUUCAUGUUAUAUAAACAUAGAUGAGCUAGCAGGCAAAAGCAGUAAAAUAUUACCAGCAGGUUAAAAUACCUUGUGUGGUAAUGUUAUAUUAUCCAGAACUUAAGAUGAACAGUUGUUUUGCACCACCAUAAGAAGGAUUUUUACCUGAGGGUAAGUUUUAUU